rnacentral:rRNA from 1 species
AACAACCCAGACCAACAGCUAAGGUCCCUAAGUGCGGACUAAGUUGAAUCAAACGAGGUGGGAAUGCAGUGACAGCUAGGAUGUUGGCUUGGAAGCAGCCAUUCAUUUAAAGAGUGCGUAACAGCUCACUAGUCGAGCGUUCCUGCGACGGAAAAUAAUCGGGGCAUCAAGUCCGCCGCCGAAGCUUUGGAUUCCACGCUCAGAGCGUGGAGUGGUAGGGGAGCAUUCCAGUGACGCAGAAGGUGUGGCGUGAGCCAUGCUGGAGACACUGGAAAAGCAAAUGUAGGCAUGAGUAACGAUAAAGGAUGUGAAAAACAUCCUCGCCGUAAGACUAAGGGGUUCCUAGAUCGAUGUUAAUCAGAUCAGGGUUAGUCGGGUCCUAAGGUAUAGCCGAAAGGCGAAGCCGAUGGCAAACGGGUUAAUAUUCCCGUACCUGUACUGACUGCGACGGGGAGA